UGGGGAAUAUUGCACAAUGGGCGGAAGCCUGAUGCAGCGACGCCGCGUGGGGGAUGAAGGCCUUCGGGUUGUAAACCCCUUUCGACAGGGACGAAGCUUUUGUGACGGUACCUGUAUAAGAAGCACCGGCUAACUACGUGCCAGCAGCCGCGGUAAUACGUAGGGUGCGAGCGUUGUCCGGAAUUACUGGGCGUAAAGAGCUCGUAGGUGGUUUGUCGCGUCGUCUGUGAAAUUCCGGGGCUUAACUCCGGGCGUGCAGGCGAUACGGGCUGACUUGAGUGCUGUAGGGGAGACUGGAAUUCCUGGUGUAGCGGUGAAAUGCGCAGAUAUCAGGAGGAACACCGAUGGCGAAGGCAGGUCUCUGGGCAGUAACUGACGCUGAGGAGCGAAAGCAUGGGUAGCGAACAGGAUUAGAUACCCUGGUAGUCCAUGCCGUAAACGGUGGGCGCUAGGUGUAGGGGGCUUCCACGUCUUCUGUGCCGUAGCUAACGCAUUAAGCGCCCCGCCUGGGGAGUACGGCCGCAAGGCUA
rnacentral:rRNA from 1 species